GAAUCUUUCUGAUAGUUAUUUUUUUGAAUCUCCAAGUUGAUAUAUAUUUAGAUACUUCAAGGUUUGUGGAUGAGAGUUUCUACUCUUUUUGAGAAUAGAGUCUUAGAAGUGGAGUGCUUCUGUCAGUUUUGGACAUCCGGAAGUCAGGUGUCUUGAUUCUGUAUUUGGUAAUUGGUUAGAAAGCAGGAACAAAUGAGUGAAUUUGAUACACAGGUAGGCCAAUAAAUAGUUUAGACUUUAGCAUUCAACUUUACUUGGUGGUCUUAGUGACAUAAACCAUUGUGAUGCAGCUACUGUCGACAACAGAAUUCUAAGAGCUGAUAUCGAAACUUUGAGAACAAAAGUACAUAUCAUUCUUUUAAAGAUUGUACAACAUUCAAGACUAUGAUCCUGAUAAAAACAACUUGUGCAGGUUAAGAUGGCAGAAGAAACGGUGAAAAGAGUGACAAGAGUGAACCCUUUGCAUUGCACAAGAACAAACAUGGACAUACCAUUGAAACGGGCAAUCCCAAGUACUGCUGACGCAGGUUUGGGACCAUAUCAGAGAGUAGAUAAACCGUAUUUGAACCGUGAAAGCAUACAGAAUCAGUUUGAUACUAAUCCAAAUAUAUUUGAAACCCUGCCUCAUUGGCGUCACAAGCAUUAACCACAGCAUUGAGUCACUUAUUGGUUUUGUGAUUUUCUUGGGGUAACUCUUUUAUCUUUGCCUUUUUAAUUCCUUGUAAUAUUAGUUACUGUGCCACUCUACUACGGUGUUAUUGUAAGACUUGCUCAUCCACAUUAUUCUCCUAAACAUAUUCGAAUGCAAAUAUACAUAUCAUUAUUUCUAAAAAUACGUUUAUUAUUUGUUUGCCAGUGAAUUCGCUUAUAACAUCACCUAGAUGUUAAAAUGAGAUUCAUUAUUGUGCGUU